UAACUAGUUUUUUUAGAUAAAGGAUAGUUUAUAUCCAUCUUUAUAUACCAUAAGUAGAAUCAGACCAAUUAUAAAUUAUUACACAAAGCGGUCAAUCGACCAACAAAGGACCCAAACCACUAAGGAAAAACGAAAUGGGAAGAAAAGUUUUGACUAUGAAGUACCAAUAAACCUAGCUGAUAACCAACCAUUAGAUCUAAAGAAAUGUAGAGCUGAUGUCGCCAAAAACUGUCUAGCAAAUAGCAUCUGGUCCUUUAGAAAGUCACACCGCUACAGUCCUGCCCAUUGCCGGAGCCAAUGUAUUCCUCUGAAUAGUACCUGCAAAAAAGUUUUCAGUCUGCAUUUGUCAAAAACCACUUUGUUUCUUGUUAUCCAAACCGUCCAGCAUUACACUAUCGCUGCUGUUAAUAAUAGAGAACUAUGAAUUUUACCACCCAUCUUAGACCAAUUAUCAAAUAAAUCAUCUAUGCUGAGGGGAGGUGCGUUAUGACUAGUAUUGAAGGUUGACUGUGGUUGCUCCGCGUUGCCAAUGAUUUUGGUGUUUCUUGAUCAUACAACAGUUUUGGAUCUGAAAUGAACUUGCGUAGUUUUUAAUACUGCUACAACUACUAUCUCAUAAGGUGUAUGUCUGGUUCUAAGAAAGGAUUGAUGUACUGGACGCACAUAUGGUAAUUAAUAUACAACACAGGCUAUAGCGAGUGAUAGUAAGAUUUCUUUUUCUUUUGUACCAUUCAUUGGAGAUAUUUGUAGAGAACCGGCCAGGCUAUCUCAAAUAGAAACAUAUAUAAGUUAAAAAGAUGGCUUGUGAACAGUAACUUUUGUAUAUACCUUGUCAACAAACAACGUCUUUCGAAAAUUCAAAUUUUGUAUUCCAAUAUAUAUGAGAACAGAAAACCAGUAUCCUGGUUUCUUAAAGGAUAAAAAAUUUGUAAACUAUAUAUUUAUUGAUUCUUC
rnacentral:lncRNA from 1 species